UCCACACCGUAAACUUUGCACACUAGGUGUUAUGACACAAGUCAUAGUACCGAAGCUAACGCGUUAAGUGUACCGCCUGGGGAGUAUGCCGGCAACGGUGAAACUCAAAGGAAUUGACGGGGGCCCGCACAAGCGGUGGAGCAUGUGGUUUAAUUCGAUACGCGAAAAACCUUACCGGGAUUUGACAUAUAGUUGAUCGGUAUAGAGAUGUACUUUUCUCUUCGGAGACAGCUAAAC
rnacentral:rRNA from 1 species